rfam:Picea glauca, whole genome shotgun sequence.
GUAAUGGUGUCUUUAGACACCAACUUUACUUCAAAACAAAUUAUU